UUGGACGGCCUCACUGUUGGCUCUUUCCUUCCCGCCCCCAGCAGCUCGGCUUUCCUGCGCCAGCAGCAGCAGCGGUGGUGUGUCACCGACGCUAGGCUGCUGCCGGAGAGACCUGGAGUCAGGGCGAACAGACACCCAGUUCAUCCACACUGGCAUCACAGCGGGGCUGAGGGGCUGCCCCGGCGAGCUUUACACCUGAACACCGGUUCGGUUGGAUACGUGUCUGCGCCGCCCGUCCUCCUGAUGUCGGACUUCAAGCUGGGGAUCGUGCGGCUCGGCCGUGUGGCCGGGAAGACAAAAUAUACACUGAUUGAUGAACAGGACAUACCGCUUGUGGAAAACUAUGCGUUUGAGGCGCGCAUGGAGGUAGAUGCAGAUGGCAAUGGAGCUAAAAUCUUUGCCUACGCUUUCGACAUUGGCAAAGGCCGCUGGGCAGGAAGGCCUUUGCAUGAGCUUCU